rnacentral:rRNA from 1 species
UUCAUGGAGAGUUUGAUCUUGGCUCAGGACGAACGCUGGCGGCGUGCCUAAUACAUGCAAGUCGAGCGCAGGAAACCAGAUGACCCCUUCGGGGUGAUUCUGGUGGAAUGAGCGGCGGACGGGUGAGUAACACGUGGGCAACCUGCCUGUAAGACUGGGAUAACUUCGGGAAACCGGAGCUAAUACCGGAUAGUAUUUCCUUUCUCCUGAUUGGAAAUGGAAAGACGGUUUCGGCUGUCACUUACAGAUGGGCCCGCGGUGCAUUAGCUAGUUGGUGGGGUAAUGGCCCACCAAGGCGACGAUGCAUAGCCGACCUGAGAGGG